GGAGGGAGCCGGAAGAGGUGGUAGACGCCGGAGAGGGAGCCGCUGCUCCUCCAGUCCUAAAGGCCGCUCCGCGGCGUGGCCAUCUGGUAGCCCGCGACCCUCUGGCACUCCGUCCUGGCCUGCGGGGUUAUUCUGGUCUUAAAUAAACGCAGCAACCGGUGCGAGAAGCCCUGGAACUCUAUUUUCUUGUCAUUCCUGCCAUUCUGCUUUCAGCAGAGACCUUAGGCGAGUCCUUAACUGCACAAAAGCGGGAUCGGUAUUCCUGUCCUGGAGGCCCUACAGGGAUUUUGCUCUCCUCUGGAGUGGGUAGUAAGCCCACAGCAACGACGAUGCCAGGCAGCCGGUCUGCAUGAGUCUCCAUUCACUUGUCUAGCAGUUCUUGCUCUCAGAGAAAAGUAAGAUAAAUAAGACCCAAUACCUGCACUUACACAGUCUAACAGAGGACAAGAAAUCUUCCACAAAUAACCCCAGUGCCAAGCAGUGUGUGAUAAGGUACAGCAUUCAAUAAUUCUACAUCUACGGAGCCAACCCUGACAAGUGCCCUUCUGUGAAAGUUCUUUGAAAUUGUUAAAAAUGUUAUCAAAUGAGACGAAUGGAUAAAGAAGAUGUGGUACAUAUAUACAAUGGAA